CUCAAGCUCCUCUCACUAGCUCGGCCAUGUUCGGUGCUCGCGACGCCUUCGCCGCGUGAUCUUCAGCUGCUACGGCGGUUUCCCCCACCGGCUCCGGAGAGACGAUGGUGAGCAAGUUCCUCUACGACUUCCGGUGGUUCCUCCUCCUCGCCGCGGCGGUGGCGUUGAUCCACAUCCAGGAUGGUGUACCAAGGACAGCAUAUGAAGGAGCAGUAAUCUCCCGGUAUUCACCACCACGGCAUGUGUUUCUAGUGGGUCCGGAUUCUUUCAGGCUGCUUGGGAUCAAACGUGUUUGAUGCAUUGAGGUGAGGUUCCACGGCGCUGGUAAAUCAUGGUGCCAGGACCGAGCUUCCUCUUUCCUCCUCAACGCCUAGUGUAACCGGUACACUAUCAGAGGAACCACCGGGAGCAUAGCAACUGGAGCUCGCUGAUGAGCAGAAGUGUAGAGGGCUGACGAUUCCUUUUGCGAUUUUGAUUGAGGAGAGGGAGGAUUCUUCUGAACGGCAGUGUCCAGUCCAUACAUAUGCCUUUAAAUGGCCGAAGCAAGCCGUCAUUCAUUGGAAGAGAGCCAUAGGUCAUGUUAGCUUACUUUUACACUUAAUAGCACGUAACCUCAACAAAUUUUGUUGCUCCCGAAGAAACAUACAUCUGUCUCUCGCCAUGUUUCCCGCUCUUUUGCCCCCGCUUUGGCGGGUUGGAGCGCGGAGGACUAAAAUGUAAGAGACCCACACAGUCGAAAGUGGGAGUUCAUGCCUGUCUUUGUAUGCAAAACACGAGGAACUUCUAGUCAUGUGUGUUGUGAACAAAAUGGUGAGAAAAAUUUGGUACAAAGUUUAUUUAUAAAAUUUUCUUCAAAGUA